rnacentral:rRNA from 1 species
CUCGAGAGUCGGGUUGCUUGGAAAUGCAGCCUAAAGACAGGUGGUAAACUCCAUCUAAAGCUAAAUAUCCCCACGAGACCGAUAGCGAACAAGUACCGCGAGGGAAAGUUGAAAAGAACUCUGAAGAGAGAGUUCAAGAGAGCGUGAAACUACCACGAGGUUAAAGCGAGUGAGGGUUGUGUCCGAACUGGUGGUGAUACAGAGUCCGGCAGGGUCGUGUUGGGGAUUUCGCGAUUCGCCUGUAAAUGGAUCUACCCCCGAACGUCGUAGUCAAGACGGCUCGGCCUCGAGGGUAGACCGGCGUCUCCCUCUAAGCACGAUUCUGUGACCAGGAGCUGUUCCAUCCGGCCGAAGUAGGACGUCGCGGCCGUUCGAGAGGUGUCGAAGACCCGGGGGUCAGGGAAACUGUAUCUUCUCGUCGCCUUCUUCUUCCGAGGAUGAAUUCCGCGAAUCGGUAGAAGAUGCGCGCACGGUUGUGCGGGGCCGCCUCGGUGAUCUGACGGCCUCACGGACGGUUAAAUCUUGGCAAAUGCGCGCCUGCCUGUUCGGCGGGGAGACGUCCUCUGUCCCUACUUAAUAAGCACGAGUAGGGUCAAGUCGUCCCCGAAUAAACGUCCAGGCGCGUCACGCGGCGCAAAAAGCUUCUCCUUACUCGUCCCGUCUUGAAACACGGACCAAGAAGUCUUGAAUGUGCGCGAGUCAAAGGGCUGGCUAAACCCCAAGGCGAAACGAAAGUGAAUUCUUUCAUGGGCUGAUCCGGUUCGUUGUGAGCUGUCGAAGUUUGCGGGGUCGUUCGUCGCCGUCUGGUCGAUAUCCUCUUUCGCGGGGGGAGUUGAAGGCGGAUGUACGGCUUCUCUGCGCUCCGGCCUCUCCCCUCGAUUUGCCACCUUAAUAUGUGGACGGCGCAAGCCCGGGGCCCGCAACGUUCCUCUUCGCCGUUAAGGCUUGGCCGGUCGUUUCGCGGCUCCCCCGCCCGAGUGACGCACGGCUGUAGGUCGCCACUCGUUAAUCUGCCUAGGGUCGUAUCGUCGGAUCGUUACGCGAAGGCUUGUGUUCUUCGCGUGCCCCUCCGUCGCUGCGAAGCCUAACGUAGAUGCGGCGAUUCUAAGGUCGUGCGUCAUUCAUCCGAAAUUUUGUGAAGGGGGAGUUCGUGGGCGUCGGGCUCGCUGGCGGAGACGGACAGCGGGUUCUCUGAGCGCACAUUCUAGGACCCGAAAGAUGGUGAUCUAUGC